GUGGGAUGAAGGCCUUCGGGUUGUAAACCACUUUUGGCGGGGGCGAAAUAUCGAGUGCUAAUACCAUUCGGUGAUGACGGUACCCGCAGAAUAAGCACCGGCUAACUACGUGCCAGCAGCCGCGGUAAUACGUAGGGUGCAAGCGUUAAUCGGAAUUACUGGGCGUAAAGCGUGCGCAGGCGGUUAGGUAAGACAGAUGUGAAAUUCCCGGGCUCAACCUGGGAACUGCAUUUGUGACUGCCUGACUAGAGUGCGGCAGAGGGGAGUGGAAUUCCGCGUGUAGCAGUGAAAUGCGUAGAUAUGCGGAGGAACACCGAUGGCGAAGGCAACUCCCUGGGCCUGCACUGACGCUCAUGCACGAAAGCGUGGGGAGCAAACAGGAUUAGAUACCCUGGUAGUCCACGCCCUAAACGAUGUCGACUAGUUGUUGGACGGGUUACUGUUCAGUAACGAAGCUAACGCGUGAAGUCGACCGCCUGGGGAGUACGGCCGCAAGGUUAAAACUCAAAUGAAUUGACGGG
rnacentral:rRNA from 1 species